rnacentral:rRNA from 1 species
CGAAGCACUUUGCUUAGAUUCUUCGGAUGAAGAGGAUUGUGACUGAGUGGCGGACGGGUGAGUAACGCGUGGGUAACCUGCCUCAUACAGGGGGAUAACAGUUGGAAACGACUGCUAAUACCGCAUAAGCGCACAGGAUUGCAUGAUCCAGUGUGAAAAACUCCGGUGGUAUGAGAUGGACCCGCGUCUGAUUAGCCAGUUGGCGGGGUAACGGCCCACCAAAGCGACGAUCAGUAGCCGACCUGAGAGGGUGACCGGCCACAUUGGGACUGAGACACGGCCCAAACUCCUACGGGAGGCAGCAGUGGGGAAUAUUGCACAAUGGGGGAAACCCUGAUGCAGCGACGCCGCGUGAGCGAAGAAGUAUUUCGGUAUGUAAAGCUCUAUCAGCAGGGAAGAAGAAUGACGGUACCUGACUAAGAAGCACCGGCUAAAUACGUGCCAGCAGCCGCGGUAAUACGUAUGGUGCAAGCGUUAUCCGGAUUUACUGGGUGUAAAGGGAGCGCAGGCGGUACGGCAAGUCUGAUGUGAAAUCCCGGGGCUCAACCCCGGUACUGCAUUGGAAACUGUCGGACUAGAGUGUCGGAGGGGUAAGUGGAAUUCCUAGUGUAGCGGUGAAAUGCGUAGAUAUUAGGAGGAACACCAGUGGCGAAGGCGGCUUACUGGACGAUUACUGA